AUGCAGCUGACGAGUUUAAAAUGAGACGAAACGCUGGUCCUGGAU
rfam:Schistosoma margrebowiei strain Zambia genome assembly, scaffold: SMRZ_scaffold0000724